rnacentral:rRNA from 1 species
AUUGAACGCUGGCGGCAUGCCUUACACAUGCAAGUCGAACGGUAACAGGUCUUCGGAUGCUGACGAGUGGCGAACGGGUGAGUAAUACAUCGGAACGUGCCUAGUAGUGGGGGAUAACUACUCGAAAGAGUGGCUAAUACCGCAUGAGAUCUACGGAUGAAAGCAGGGGAUCGCAAGACCUUGUGCUACUAGUGCGGCCGAUGGCAGAUUAGGUAGUUGGUGGGAUAAAAGCUUACCAAGCCGACGAUCUGUAGCUGGUCUGAGAGGACGAUCAGCCACACUGGGACUGAGACACGGCCCAGACUCCUACGGGAGGCAGCAGUGGGGAAUUUUGGACAAUGGGCGCAAGCCUGAUCUAGCAAUGCCGCGUGCAGGAUGAAGGCCUUCGGGUUGUAAACUGCUUUUGUACGGAACGAAAAGCCCCGGGUUAAUACCCUGGGGGUCAUGACGGUACCGUGAGAAUAAGCACCGGCUAACUACGUGCCAGCCGCCGCCGUAA